AUGGAGACGGCCAGGGAGUCCUUCGACGGCAAGCUGGACAUACUGGUGAACAAUGCGGGGCAAUUGGUUUUGAAAGCGGCUACAGAGUGGACGGCGGACGACUAUGCACAAUUGAUGGAGACUAACUUAGAGUCUAGCUUCCACCUUAGUCAGCUCGCGCAUCCUCUACUCAUCAACGCCUCUAUACUUGGAGGAGGUAGCAUCGUCAAUAUCUCCUCUGUUGGAGGUAUAUUUGGCUACCCAGGCCUCGCACUUUAUGGCAUCACAAAAGGGGGAAUGAACCAAUUUACAAGGAGCCUCGCCACUGAGUGGGCUAGAGACAAUAUUCGUGUGAACUCCGUUGCCCCAGGCAUUGUGUCGACAGACAUGAUCAAAGAUUUAGAGCCGGAUGCACUCGAGCAAGCAUGCUCGCGGAUCCCGAUGGAGCGGAGCGGCAAGCCAGCGGAGGUCGCUUCUGUGGUGUCCUUCCUCUGUAUGCCCACGGCGUCCUAUAUCACCGGCCAGGUUAUUUGUAUCGACGGCGGUCGAACCAUUUAUUAG
rnacentral:rRNA from 1 species